UGGGGAAUUUUGGACAAUGGGGGCAACCCUGAUCCAGCCAUGCCGCGUGAGUGAAGAAGGCCUUCGGGUUGUAAAGCUCUUUCGGCCGGGAAGAAAUCGCAUGGGCUAAUACCCUGUGCGGAUGACGGUACCGGCAUAAGAAGCACCGGCUAACUACGUGCCAGCAGCCGCGGUAAUACGUAGGGUGCGAGCGUUAAUCGGAAUUACUGGGCGUAAAGCGUGCGCAGGCGGUUUUGUAAGACAGGCGUGAAAUCCCCGGGCUCAACCUGGGAACUGCGCUUGUGACUGGAAGGCUAGAGUAUGGCAGAGGGGUGUGGAAUUCCACGUGUAGCAGUGAAAUGCGUAGAGAUGUGGAGGAACACCAAUGGCGAAGGCAGCCCCCUGGGCCAAUACUGACGCUCAUGCACGAAAGCGUGGGUAGCAAACA
rnacentral:rRNA from 1 species